UACGUAGGGGGCAAGCGUUGUCCGGAUUUAUUGGGCGUAAAGCGCUCGCAGGUGGUUCGAUGCGUCGUGCGUGAAAGACCCCGGCUUAACUGGGGAGGGUCGUGCGAUACGGUCGAACUGGAGGCCAGUAGGGGGAUGCGGAAUUCCGGGUGUAGUGGUGGAAUGCGUAGAGAUCCGGAGGAACACCAGCGGCGAAGGCGGCAUCCUGGACUGGUCCUGACACUCAUGAGCGAAAGCGUGGGGAGCGAUCCGG
rnacentral:rRNA from 1 species